rnacentral:rRNA from 1 species
GACGAACGCUAGCGGCGUGCCUAAGCUAUGCAAGUCGAGCGGGGUUUCAGUGCUGAGUUUCCUUCGGGAGGCGAAGCGUUGUGACCUAGCGGCAAACGGGUGAGUAACACGUGAGCAACCUGCCCCGCUGACCGGGAUAACCACUCGAAAGGGCGGCUAAUACCGGAUAGGAAGCUCCAUUGCAUGAUGGAGCUAGGAAAGGGGAAACUCGCAGCGGGAGAGGCUCGCGGCCUAUCAGCUAGUUGGUGAGGUAACGGCUCACCAAGGCGACGACGGGUAGCCGACCUGAGAGGGUGACCGGCCACACUGGGACUGAGACACGGCCCAGACUCCUACGGGAGGCAGCAAGCGGGAAUAUUGCGCAAUGGGCGAAAGCCUGACGCAGCGACGCCGCUUGAGGGAUGAAGGCCUUCGGGUCGUAAACCUCUGUUGACGGGGACGAAGCUCUGACGGUACCCGUUGAGGAAGCUCCGGCUAACUCCGUGCCAGCAGCCGCGGUAACACGGAGGGGGCAAGCGUUGUCCGGAUUUACUGGGCGUGAAGCGCGCGUAGGCGGUCCACUAAGUCGGCUGUGAAAGCGCUGGGCUCAACCCGGCAAGGUCAGUCGAUACUGGUGGACUCGAGUCCGGGAGAGGGAAGCGGAAUUGCUGGUGUAGCGGUGGAAUGCGUAGAUAUCAGCAAGAACACCGGUGGCGAAGGCGGCUUCCUGGACCGGCACUGACGCUGAGGCGCGAAAGCUAGGGGAGCGAACCGGAUUAGAUACCCGGGUAGUCCUAGCCGUAAACGAUGGUCACUAGGUGUUGGGGGUAUCGACCCCCCCAGUGCCGAAGCUAACGCAUUAAGUGACCCGCCUGGGGAGUACGGCCGCAAGGCUG